rnacentral:rRNA from 2 species
UGGAUCCAGACUUUGAUCCUGGCUCAGGAUGAACGCUAGCUACAGGCUUAACACAUGCAAGUCGAGGGGAAACGAUAGAGAAAGCUUGCUUUUUCUAGGCGUCGACCGGCGCACGGGUGAGUAACGCGUAUCCAACCUGCCCACCACUUGGGAAUAACCUUGCGAAAGUAAGACUAAUACCCAAUGAUAUCUCUAGAAGACAUCUGAAGGAGAUUAAAGAUUUAUCGGUGAUGGAUGGGGAUGCGUCUGAUUAGCUUGUUGGCGGGGUAACGGCCCACCAAGGCGACGAUCAGUAGGGGUCCUGAGAGGAAGGCCCCCCACAUUGGAACUGAGACACGGUCCAAACUCCUACGGGAGGCAGCAGUGAGGAAUAUUGGUCAAUGGGCGAGAGCCUGAACCAGCCAAGUAGCGUGCAGGAUGACGGCCCUAUGGGUUGUAAACUGCUUUUAUAAGGGAAUAAAGUGAGCCUCGUGAGGCUUUUUGCAUGUACCUUAUGAAUAAGGACCGGCUAAUUCCGUGCCAGCAGCCGCGGUAAUACGGAAGGUCCGGGCGUUAUCCGGAUUUAUUGGGUUUAAAGGGAGCGUAGGCCGGAGAUUAAGCGUGUUGUGAAAUGUAGAUGCUCAACAUCUGCACUGCAGCGCGAACUGGUUUCCUUGAGUACGCACAAAGUGGGCGGAAUUCGUGGUGUAGCGGUGAAAUGCUUAGAUAUCACGAAGAACUCCGAUUGCGAAGGCAGCUCACUGGAGCGCAACUGUCGCUGAAGCUCGAAAGUGCGGGUAUCGAACAGGAUUAGAUACCCUGGUAGUCCGCACGGUAAACGAUGGAUGCCCGCUGUUGGUCUGAAUAGGUCAGCGGCCAAGCGAAAGCAUUAAGCAUCCCACCUGGGGAGUACGCCGGCAACGGUGCAACUCAAAGGAAUUGACGGA